rnacentral:rRNA from 1 species
AAACCCCCUCGCCGAAAGACUAAGGUUUCCUGAUCAACGCUAAUCGGAUCAGGGUUAGUCGGGUCCUAAGGCUCAGCCGAACGGUGAGGCCGAUGGCAGAACAGGUUAAUAUUCCUGUACUACCUUAAGGAGUGACGUGGAGACGGAGUCGUGACAACGCCGCGGACUGACGGAAUAGUCCGUUGAAGGGUGUAGAUGUUGAUUGUGGCAGGCAAAUCCACCACGAGAGUCGAACCUGAUAGUAUACCAAUUCCUUCGGGAAACGGUAAUAGUGCGUGUAAACAUACUCCCGAGAAAAUCCGCUAAACUUAAUCCUUGAGGUACCCGUACCGCAAACGGACACACGUAGUCGGGUUGAAUAUACUAAGGCGCUUGAGUGAUUCACGGUUAAGGAACUAGGCAAAUUGACCCUGUAACUUCGGGAUAAAGGGUCCCAACGAGAGUUGGGCGCAGAGAAUAGGUCCAGGCAACUGUUUAACAAAAACACAGGGCUGUGCAAAAUUGAAAGAUGAAGUAUACAGCCUGACACCUGCCCGGUGCUGGAAGGUUAAGAGGAGAUGUCAUCGCAAGAGAAGCAUUGAAUUGAAGCCCCAGUAAACGGCGGCCGUAACUAUAACGGUCCUAAGGUAGCGAAAUUCCUUGUCGGGUAAGUUCCGACCUGCACGAAUGGUGUAAUGAUCUGGACACUGUCUCAACCGUGAGCUCGGUGAAAUUGUAGUAUCGGUGAAGAUGCCGAUUACCCGCGAUGGGACGAAAAGACCCCGUGAACCUUUACUAUAGCUUAUCAUUGAAUCUGGGCACGUGAUGUGUAGGAUAGGUCGGAGGCUUUGAAGCAGGUACGCCAGUAUUUGUGGAGCCGCUGUUGAAAUACGGCCCUUUGAUUAUUUGAGUUCUAACCCGUUGUAACGGGGACACUGUUUGGUGGGUAGUUUGACUGGGGUGGUCGCCUCCAAAAGUGUAACGGAGGCUUCUAAAGGUGCCCUCAGGACGAUUGGUAACCGUCCGUAGAGUGUAAUGGCAUAAGGGCGCUUGACUGGGAGACAUACAAGUCGAUCAGGUAGGAAACUAGAGCAUAGUGAUCCGGUGUUUCCGCAUGGAAGGGACAUCGCUCAAAGGAUAAAAGGUACUCCGGGGAUAACAGGCUGAUC